CCUACGGGUGGCAGCAGUGGGGAAUAUUGGACAAUGGGGGGAACCCUGAUCCAGCCAUGCCGCGUGUGUGAAGAAGGCCCUCGGGUUGUAAAGCACUUUCAGUGAGGAAGAACGCCUGGUGGUUAAUACCCAUCAGGAAAGACAUCACUCACAGAAGAAGCACCGGCUAACUCCGUGCCAGCAGCCGCGGUAAUACGGAGGGUGCGAGCGUUAAUCGGAAUUACUGGGCGUAAAGCGCGCGUAGGUGGCUUGAUAAGCCGGUUGUGAAAGCCCCGGGCUCAACCUGGGAACGGCAUCCGGAACUGUCAAGUUAGAGUGCAGGAGAGGAAGGUAGAAUUCCCGGUGUAGCGGUGAAAUGCGUAGAGAUCGGGAGGAAUACCAGUGGCGAAGGCGGCCUUCUGGACUGACACUGACACUGAGGUGCGAAAGCGUGGGUAGCAAACAGGAUUAGAUACCCCAGUAGUC
rnacentral:rRNA from 1 species